rnacentral:rRNA from 1 species
CACAUGCAAGUCGAACGGGUUCUAGCARAAUAUCGCUAGGAUAAGUGGCAAACGGGUGAGUAACACGUGGGUAACCUACCUUCAAAUGGGGAAUAACCCGCCGAAAGGCGAGCUAAUACCCCGCAGUACUGGAAGGCGCAAUUCCUUCCUUUUAAAGAUGGCGUCCGUAAGGGGCUAUCAUUUGGAGAGGGGCCCGCGGCCUAUCAGCUAGUUGGCGGGGUAACGGCCCACCAAGGCAACGACGGGUAGCCGGCCUAAAAGGGCGAUCGGCCACACUGGAACUGAGACACGGUCCAGACUCCUACGGGAGGCAGCAGUGGGGAAUUUUGGACAAUGGGGGCAACCCUGAUCCAGCAACGCCGCGUGAGUGAUGAAGGCCUUCGGGUCGUAAAGCUCUGUCAAGUGGAACGAUGGGUUUCGAAGCUAAUAUCUUUGGAAUUUGACGGUACCACUGGAGGAAGUCACGGCUAAC